UACUUUAUAUUUUAUAUGUAUGCGUGUCCCCAUGUCUUAUAAGAUUUUAUAUGUAUGCGUGUCCCGUGAUGUGUCGUAUCCGUGUUAGUGUCCGUGCAUCAUAGCGGCCACCACACACAACCCGAAUCCAAAAUCUUGGAAAGAAACCCCAGAAAAUUCAAAUAUGAACGAAUGGAGGAGAUCCGAAUCAUCUCUAUCAGUUAAAUGGAGUCGCGCAUAUUGCUGGUGCCGUCCAUGAAGAGUUGUGAUAAACAGUUUUCUAUCGUUGUCCAAUCUAUCGAUAUAUCACCAACAUGAGAAGGCAACAGGUAUACCAUUAGAUGACAGGAUCGUGCCGUACUUGUAGAUGACUGAUUUAUACCAUCUUGCAAGGCUGAAUGAGACUUAGUUUAGAUUGGAUGAGCCAUUAGUGAGCGUGUCCGAUCCAUGGAGAGAUGGCGUCCAGAGACGCAUACUUUUUACAUGUCAGUUGAGGAGUGCACGAUCACGUUGGAAGAUGCAGUGUACCAGUUAGGGCUCCUGAUCGACGGUUAGUAUGUUAGCGGAUACCUCACGGACUUUGAGCGACAUAUUGAUGGUGGCCGCCCAGCGUGGGCAUGGUUCGAGGAGCUGUUGGGUGUUUUUCCUCCUACGAACUACAUCGAUAAGUUCACGGUGAAGUGCACUUGGAUGCAGGAGACAUUUAGUGAGCUUCCGUAGGGUAGAGACGAUGAGACGGUUAGGAGGUAUGCCUAGGCGUAUAUCAUGAUGCUCUUAUCGACGCAGCUAUUCGGGAAUAAGUUUGGUACACGUCUUCACAUUCGUUGGCUACCCUACGUCGCCAGGCUAGAGGACAUGGGUCGGUAUAGUUAGGGGUCUGCUGCUCUGUCAUGGUUAUACAAGUGGAUAUAUCAUGUGGCCAAUAGGAAUAUCGUCAAGUUAGCCGGUCCAUUACAGCUCCUGCAAUCGUGGAUCUUUUGGAGGUUCUCUGUUUUCCGGCUGGAUGGAUUUGAUAUAUUUCAUUAGCUAUUGGCGUCGAGAUGGUCAGGUUAUCAGCCGACGUUGAGCGACAAGGGGCCUCAAGUCAUGCAGUGGAGGCUUAGGAUAGAUUUACUUCAGUCCGGGAAUGUGAGUAUUCAUGGUUUCAAUUUGUUGAUCGCUAAUGUUGUGUUUGCACUGUUUACUGUUUAUGAUUACUGAGGCGUUACAUGCUGCCAAAGGUGAGAUAAAAAGAAUGACCAUGAUUCUGCAUUCUCACCCUCUACAAGUGCAAAUUCAAUAGAAAUAAUAUUGGAGUUUUUGUCCUGAGCAAUCACGACAAGUAGUUUGCCGUACAGUUGGGUCUCGUCGACACUGACCAACGGCUUGCAAUGACGGAGGCCUCGAUACACGGUGGAAAUGCCCAAAAAAGCUGAUAAACCGUGAUGUUAUGGUUUAUUUUGUAUUGAAUUGAUCGGAUUUUAUCCAUUAUUCUCACACUUAUUCAUAUAAUUUGCAUGUUUUACAUUUUCC